UAUUUGGAGUUUUUAGACUCCACAAACAGAAUUUAGAGUUAAUAGU
rfam:Gossypium hirsutum cultivar TM-1 chromosome 24, whole genome shotgun sequence